rnacentral:rRNA from 1 species
UACGUAGGGACCAAGCGUUGUUCGGAUUUACUGGGCGUAAAGGGCGCGUAGGCGGCAAUUCAAGUCAGUUGUGAAAUCUCCGAGCUUAACUCGGAACGGUCAACUGAUACUGCUUUGCUAGAGUGCAGAAAGGGCAACCGGAAUUCUUGGUGUAGCGGUGAAAUGCGUAGAUAUCAAGAGGAACACCUGCGGCGAAGGCGGGUUGCUGGGCUGACACUGACGCUGAGGCGCGAAAGCUAGGGGAGCGAACAGG